AUUUGUGAACCACUGAGUCACGACGGGAACUCCUCUUCUCUGUUCUUUCAACACACCAAAUUCAUUGCUGCCCCAGGGCCUUUGCAUCUGCUUUCCCCUCAGCCCAGAAUGCUUUGCUCCAGAUAGUCAUGUGGUUUCUCACCCCUCAGUUCUCAUCCCAGAUGCCACUGCCUCCUAAAAACCUUUUCGGACCUCCCUGUGGAACGCAGCCCUUCUCCCUCCUGGCCUUGACCGCACUCCCGGGUUGCCUUCCUCACCUACACGCACGUCCGUGUGCCUGUGUUUACUAUUUCAGAGCUUCCCCUCUGGAAGGCGAGCUUCUGUCUUUUCUACUAUGAAAUCCCCAGUGCCGAGACAUCAUGGACACUCCGUGGAUGUCUGCUGAAUGACGGAGGGAACCAGCCUCAGUUUCCCCUCUGUUAAAAGGGGAAUGAAGUCACAGCCUAGCCCCAGGCAAGUCCUGGCAGGGUCCUGGGCAGCUAUCUGGGCCACCUCCAUUGCAGAGCUGACAGCAGGCUCCUCCUGGGUGCCCGGGAGCCCAGCCCGGCCUGGAGCAGCCUCUGUUUCCUCUGGAGUAUUUUCCACUUCCUCUCCAUGGGGGGUUGACUCCCGGAAAGCCUCGGGAGGCAGAGCCACUGUUACCAUGCUCACGGGUCUGGGGACCCAGCCCUAGGUCGGGAGCUUGAGAGCCACGGCAGAGCAAGCAGGGCUGAGCAGGGCUUCAAAACCAUGCUCAAUAGUGCCCAGCUUGUAAGUGGCAGAGCUGAGCUACAAACCCAGGUCUGAUGCCAGAGCCCGAGCCCUCAGCCCCUCUGCCACAUUCCCACUGGCCUUGGCUUCACCAGGGGUCAAGCUGGAGGGAAGCUGGGCACUGCCCAACUGCCAGCAGGCCUGGGCACUAGAAUGAGCGAGGCCAGGGGCACAGGAGCCUGGAAGCCUCUUCCAGGAUGCUGGACUUGGGGCUGGACAGAUGUUGUGGGGAGGGGGCUCGCGGCGGGGGGCAGACAAAGGGAAGCUUGGGGCCCUGGCAAAAUGCUCACAUUUUAUCUGCACUCCAGCCCUGGCCUCCUUGCUGGCUUUCACGAGUAUCAAGCCAUACCUCCCCAUUCACUCCUUAGCCCCAGGCCCAGCCUCCUGCUCUGCCAGGGGCCUGCCUCAUCUGGUGACCCUGUGCACCCACCAUCAACGGGUACUGGGUGGCAGAGGGUGGAAAGAGGGCCCCGGCCUCCCCAGCAGAGUCCACAUCUUUUCCACCAGCUGACAAGCGAACAGUUGCAGACGGUGGCCGGGCCUGUCUCCCCACUGGCACCUCUCUGCUGGACAGUGCGCUCCAAGAGGCCACCGUCCAGGUGUGUCCCCAAACCUAUCCACAGCUCCCUCCCACAUGUUUACAAAAGAGGGCUUUGCCACCCUUGAGCUCCCUGGAGCCCCACAGCCAAGAUCAGGAAGGCAGGGCGGCAGCUGUCAGUGUGUCCAUUCCCCAGAUGCGGAAAAUGGGGCCCCCACACCUGCACGUCCCCGAGCUCAGUGCAAAGCUUGGUGCUCAGACUGGGUGGGCUGGACAUGGGAGUCUAAUAGAUGCUGUCCUUCCUGGCUGUGUGACCUUGGGCAAGGCCUCCAACCUCAGGGUCUGUUUCCUCACCUGCGGGAGGACCACCAGGGCACCUGCCUCAUGAGGCUGUGUGACCCAGCCUAUAGAGCAUGGUGUGGGGCCUGUGGGAAGGGCUCAGCAGACGGCUGCUGGGGUCACCUUCCCCUCUGCAGCCCCUGCGCAGAGCACGCAGCAGGCACAGAGCAGGGGUUCAGCAGCCGUCCAGCGGAUGGAAGGAAGGACUGUGGUUUGCACACUGUAAAGUGCUGGGUGUCCGUGUCAUUUACAGCACCAAGGCCUCAGGGCUUUAUUGUCUCCAGGGUUCACCCCCCCUCCCUGGACUCUGACUGCCGGCCCUUAGGAAAGGGGCCCAUCUGUGUGUCUCAUGCUGGUGUCUCUGCAGCUCUGGGGAGGGGGGGUGUCACAUGAGCAGGAGGGGGGGGUUCUGUGGGAGUCCGUCCCCUGGAAACAGACGGCACCCCUCUCUGCUGACCAGAUGGGUCUGGCCACCCCCACAGUGGCUUUCCAACAGCUCACAGAUACAUGGCUCCAGGCAGGACCCUCUCCUCUCGCCCCUGGGGUUGGUGCUGGGCUUCCCAGGUCAUUUAAGAGGCAGGACCUCUCCAGCCUGGCUGUCCGCACUGGAGAUGGUGAAACAGAGGCUCAGAGAGGGUAGUGACUCGCCUGAGGUUUCACAGCAGAGCCUGGCUUGGACCCAGGAUGUUUUGCCCCAGAACUGCGUCCCUCUGAGGGGGAAGUUCUGCCUGCCUCCCUCUCCCAUGUGCCAUUGGCUUCUUUAGCCAUGAAGGUCAUUGGAAGAAAGCUAGGGUUUCUGAUGAAGGUGAGAGAGGGAGAUGACAGAGGGGGGAGGUCAGUGUCAAUUCUCCUGCCUCCUCCCUCAGUCUGCCCAGCACCCCCCACCUCCAGCACCAGGAGAGCGCCCCCUCUCUCCUUCUCAGCACCCGAAAAGCCAUCUCCACCUCCCCUUUCUUGGGGAACCCUGGGGGGGUCACGACCCUGCCUGCCUCCCUAAACCCGGGGUCCUUUGUCUUUGUGGUUGCCCCCCACUCCCUGCCACCUGGCCCUCCCAGCGCCUUGUGGGAUCAGAGGCAGGAGGGGGAUUAGGUUGUGCAAAUGGCUCCCCCCCCCUCCUCCCCGCCAUCCUGCCUCCCUGUCUUAGUCAUCUCUGCCCUCCGCCGCCUUCUCCCUCCAUUACAAUUCCUCUGCCAGGCCAAGGGGAGAACAACACUGACAGGCGCCCCCCACCCCACCCAGGGGCGGCGGCGGGGCAAGGGGCCGGCUGCUCAGUAAAGGAUCCCCCCCAACCCAUCCUGCAGCCCGCGCCUCCCCCUUCUUCCGCGCUGCGCACGGAUGGCGGCUGGGGCCGCAGAGAAAUGGGCUCAUAUUAUAAAUGCAGCAUCCCCGCCUUCACUCAUGACCUGCUGGAUGACAACCUACCUUGAACGAGAACCAAGAGCCCAGGAGAUGAGGUGUAAGAACAGAUUGGCCACAUUCCUUGAUCACGGCUGCAUAGUUUAGUUUCCCACUGUUUGGCAGGGCUCUGGUUUUGUCUCCUGGUCCACUAAAAAUGACUGUGCUGACUUGAAGAGUGGAAGGAUAAAAUGCCACUGCAGGGGUGCAGGCGUAUGUGGCUGAGGGUUGAUGUUCUGGGCAGAGGAAUUGGCACAAGCAAAGAUAUCAGAGGCGUUCCUGUCGUGGCGCAGCGGAAAUGAAUCCAACUAGGAACCAUGGGGUUGUGAGCUCCAUUCCUGGCCUCACUCAGUGGGUUAAGGAGCCGGCGAUGCUGUGAG